CACCGGCGGCUCGAGUGGUAACCGUUAUUAUUGGGUCUAAAGGGUCUGUAGCCGGCCGGAUAAGUCUCUUGAGAAAUCCAGCAGCUCAACUGUUGGGCUUUCAGGAGAUACUGUCUGGCUCGAGGCCGGGAGAGGUGAGAGGUACUUCAGGGGUAGGAGUGAAAUCCUGUAAUCCUUGGGGGACCACCUGUGGCGAAGGCGUCUCACUAGAACGGACCUGACGGCAAGGGACGAAAGCUAGGGGCACGAACCGG
rnacentral:rRNA from 1 species